rnacentral:rRNA from 1 species
AUUGAACGCUGGCGGCAGGCCUAACACAUGCAAGUCGAACGAGUGGCGGACGGGUGAGUAAUGUCUGGGAAACUGCCUGAUGGAGGGGGAUAACUACUGGAAACGGUAGCUAAUACCGCAUACCAUCGGAUGUGCCCAGAUGGGAUUAGCUAGUAGGUGGGGUAACGGCUCACCUAGGCGGCGAUCCCUAGCUGGUCUGAGGGGAUGACCAGCCAGACUGGAAAUGAGGAACGGUCGCAACUCCUACGGGAGGCAGCAGUGGGGAAUAUUGCACAAUGGGGGCAAGCCUGAUGCUGCCAUGCCGCGUGUAUGAAGAAGGCCUUCGGGUUGUAAAGUACUUUCAGCGGGGAGGCGUUACCCGCAGAAGAAGCCCCGGCUAACUCCGUGCCAGCAGCCGCGGUAAUAC